rnacentral:rRNA from 1 species
UACGUAGGUGGCAAGCGUUGUCCGGAAUUAUUGGGCGUAAAGGGCUCGCAGGCGGUUUCUUAAGUCUGAUGUGAAAGCCCCCGGCUCAACCGGGGAGGGUCAUUGGAAACUGGGAAACUUGAGUGCAGAAGAGGAGAGUGGAAUUCCACGUGUAGCGGUGAAAUGCGUAGAGAUGUGGAGGAACACCAGUGGCGAAGGCGACUCUCGUGGUCUGUAACUGACGCUGAGGAGCGAAAGCGUGGGGAGCGAACAGG